GAUGAACGCUGGCGGCGUGCCUAAUACAUGCAAGUCGAGCGAACAGACGAGGAGCUUGCUCCCCUGACGUUAGCGGCGGACGGGUGAGUAACACGUGGAUAACCUACCUCUAAUACUGGGAUAACUUCGGGAAACCGGAGCUAAUACUGGAUAAUAUAUUGAACCGCAUGGUUCAAUAGUGAAAGACGGUUUUGCUGUCACUUAUAGAUGGAUCCGCGCCGCAUUAGCUAGUUGGUAAGGUAACGGCUUACCAAGGCAACGAUGCGUAGCCGACCUGAGAGGGUGAUCGGCCACACUGGAACUGAGACACGGUCCAGACUCCUACGGGAGGCAGCAGUAGGGAAUCUUCCGCAAUGGGCGAAAGCCUGACGGAGCAACGCCGCGUGAGUGAUGAAGGUCUUCGGAUCGUAAAACUCUGUUAUUAGGGAAGAACAAAUGUGUAAGUAACUAUGCACGUCUUGACGGUACCUAAUCAGAAAGCCACGGCUAACUACGUG
rnacentral:rRNA from 1 species